GAAUAGCUACACGGUAUCUAUUAAUUACUGGCAAAUAUAUUAUGACUGAACACUGUUGUCUACAGCCCGUGUGAAUGCGUGACAAAAUGCGUACAAUUUGUGUUGUUAAGUAUGGCCAUAUACUAAUAUAAUAAUGUACCGGUGUGCUACAAUCUCCUUAAAUCGUGAAAUAAUUUUACUAUUCGUUUAAUAAGGGGUUCAUCGGGGUGUGAUUGAAAUCAUUUUCACCUCCAUCUUGCCGUAAAUACGUCACUGAUAUUUUCAUUUUGUCCUUCUCGGAAUUUUUUAUAAGUAGGUACCGUGACUGUAAAUAUAUGUAUGGAAUCUGCCGGUUCCGUCCUUUCGUUCCCAAAGACAAACUUUAGACCAUACACUGUUCGAAUCGAAGAAGGGAUCGAAAAUAAUAAUCCCCGACGGAGAGAUAAGAGCACAUUUUUUUUAUAAUAUAGUCAUCUAAAAUAAGGGUACUUAUCGGCGCUUGGAUUUUGUAAAUCCGUCUUGACUAUUUGAAACCGAGUGCAUUGAGUAGGUUUCGAGUCGGUAUUGAAUACUUCAAAUGAACGCGUUAAAGUUGUCAAUUUGUAUGAAAUUCCAACAUUUUUUUACACAAUAUUGUAUACAAGCACAAUCAGUAGUAAUGCCUACUCGUCGGUAAAUAAUAUUAUUUUCGAUCACGCGUACCCCGACGGUUAUUUUAGAAAAAUAUAUUAUAAUUGCGUGGACCGUAACUUCGCAGGUUGUAGCAAUGAAAAUAUCAAACGUACACCCAGAUGCACCCAUCUAGUUAAUAAAUAAAAUGACACAGAUGGGGUGAUGCCGCGUGGCGCGGUAUAAAGCGAUUUAAAAAGAAAAAUGAUGCGAAGGUAAUUGGGGUCGAUCGUCUUGCCUGGCUGUUUUUAACCGGAAUUUCUACUCAUACCAUCUAUUACCGAUACCCUAAUGUACCUAGUCGAAUAUAGCAGCAUAAUUUUUAUUCAUAGAGUUCACAUUUUGUAUUUUGAGUGAAGCGAGGGAUCUAUUGGUUUUACUAUGAUGUGUAUAUUUUUUUCUAUCUAUAAACAAUUUUUCUUCUAGAAAUCUUGCUCCAAUCAAAACAUGACAACAGGAACUUUUUUUGUUGAAUUUAGAUCAUUUGUUUGAAAUUCUCGUUAAUAUUCGAGAUGAUGAGGAAAAACCGGUUGUUCAGAUUAAAAACGAUCACAAUUUUAAAAAUAAAGUCGUCAUUGGUAACCGUUUAUAUUUAUUUUUUGUUAUUAUUAAGUUUUUAUUAUUUUAAUUUUAAUC